UACGAAGGGGGCUAGCGUUGUUCGGAUUUACUGGGCGUAAAGCGCACGUAGGCGGUUUGUUAAGUCAGGGGUGAAAUCCCGGGGCUCAACCCCGGAACUGCCUUUGAUACUGGCAAUCUAGAGUCCGGAAGAGGCGAGUGGAACUCCUAGUGUAGAGGUGGAAUUCGUAGAUAUUAGGAAGAACACCAGUGGCGAAGGCGGCUCACUGGUCCGGUACUGACGCUGAGGUGCGAAAGCGUGGGGAGCAAACAGGG
rnacentral:rRNA from 1 species